rnacentral:misc_RNA from 1 species
GAUGAAGAACGCAGCGAAAUGCGAUAAGUAGUGUGAAUUGCAGAAUUCAGUGAAUCAUCGAAUCUUUGAACGCACAUUGCGCCCCUUGGUAUCCCGAGGGGCAUGCCUGUUCGAGCGUCAUUUCACCACUCAAGCCUGGCUUGGUGUUGGGCGACGUCCCCUUUGGGGACGCGCCUCGAAACGCUCGGCGGCGUGGCACCGGCUUUAAGCGUAGCAGAAUCUUUCGCUUUGGAAGUCGGGGCCCCGUCUGCCGGAAGACCUACUCGCAAGGUUGACCUCGGAUCAGGCAGGGAUACCCGCUGAACUUAAGCAUAUCAAUAAGCGGGGA